GGUCGUUAACAAAGUGUCAAUCACUACUGUGGCUCUGUACUGCAUUAUGUCCUCUGGAAAAUAAGUUCUGGAACAGAAAAACUCUUCCUUGGUCCUCUGGUCAAUGACUAAAGCUAGUGAGCUUACCUAUUGAUGAGCAAUGAGUUAAGAAAUGUGCUAUAGGGGUACAUACUUUUAUGGAAGAUGAAGAACUACUUCUACCUCAUCUGCAAAUGAUGUCAGUCUCUAACAGCCAUUGCAUUAUUAAACAUACUGUUUUGAUCUGAUAGCAAAAUGCAUUUAAUAAGUAGAGGAUGAAUGAAGAAAAACAAAACAAAUUAAUGAUAAAAACUGAUUUGAAAUGAGUUUUAGCUAUGAUUCCUUCUU